rnacentral:misc_RNA from 1 species
GACUCAUUUUGUGUCUAGGCCCCACAGAGGUGGGAGUCCUACUCUCACAAAUCUUUAGGGAGCCAAAAAGACAAUGAGCCUGAUUCAAACUAUGCUGAUAAAGAGAAAAAGAAGAGGAAGCUGAUGCCAAAGGAGUGGUGAAAGAACAGGGAAGAGAGGGAGUGAAAGAAAGUGAAAGCGAAAGCAAAAAGGAGCCUGGCAUUUGUUCUGAAGUUCA